rnacentral:misc_RNA from 1 species
UCUCCGUUGGUGAACCAGCGGAGGGAUCAUUACAGAGUUUAACAACUCCCAAACCCAUGUGAAUUUACCUAUGUUGCCUCGGCGGAGCCUACCCUGUAGCCCGCCGGUGGAAUUUCAAACUCUGUUUUUUUAAUGAAAUCUGAGCGUCUUAUUUAAUAAGUCAAAACUUUCAACAACGGAUCUCUUGGUUCUGGCAUCGAUGAAGAACGCAGC